GGUUAAGCGACUAAGCGUACACGGUGGAUGCCCUGGCAGUCAGAGGCGAUGAAGGGCGUGCUAAUCUGCGAUAAGCGCCGGUAAGGUGAUAUGAACCGUUAUAACCGGCGAUACCCGAAUGGGGAAACCCAGUGUGAUUCGUCACACUAUCAUUAACUGAAUCCAUAGGUUAAUGAGGCGAACCGGGGGAACUGAAACAUCUAAGUACCCCGAGGAAAAGAAAUCAACCGAGAUUCCCCCAGUAGCGGCGAGCGAACGGGGAGGAGCCCAGAGCCUGAAUCAGCAUGUGUGUUAGUGGAAGCGUCUGGAAAGGCGCGCGAUACAGGGUGACAGCCCCGUACACAAAAGCGCAUGUGCUGUGAGCUCGAUGAGUAGGGCGGGACACGUGGUAUCCUGUCUGAAUAUGGGGGGACCAUCCUCCAAGGCUAAAUACUCCUGACUGACCGAUAGUGAACCAGUACCGUGAGGGAAAGGCGAAAAGAACCCCGGCGAGGGGAGUGAAAAAGAACCUGAAACCGUGUACGUACAAGCAGUGGGAGCACAGGUUUACCUGUGUGACUGCGUACCUUUUGUAUAAUGGGUCAGCGACUUAUAUUCUGUAGCAAGGUUAACCGAAUAGGGGAGCCGGAGGGAAACCGAGUCUUAAUUGGGCGUUAAGUUGCAGGGUAUAGACCCGAAACCCGGUGAUCUAGCCAUGGGCAGGUUGAAGGUUGGGUAACACUAACUGGAGGACCGAACCGACUAAUGUUGAAAAAUUAGCGGAUGACCUGUGGCUGGGGGUGAAAGGCCAAUCAAACCGGGAGAUAGCUGGUUCUCCCCGAAAGCUAUUUAGGUAGCGCCUCGUGAAUUCAUCUCCGGGGGUAGAGCACUGUUUCGGCUAGGGGGCCAUCCCGGCUUACCAACCCGAUGCAAACUGCGAAUACCGGAGAAUGUUAUCACGGGAGACACACGGCGGGUGCUAACGUCCGUCGUGAAGAGGGAAACAACCCAGACCGCCAGCUAAGGUCCCAAAGUCAUGGUUAAGUGGGAAACGAUGUGGGAAGGCCCAGACAGCCAGGAUGUUGGCUUAGAAGCAGCCAUCAUUUAAAGAAAGCGUAAUAGCUCACUGGUCGAGUCGGCCUGCGCGGAAGAUGUAACGGGGCUAAACCAUGCACCGAAGCUGCGGCAGCGACGCUGAUGCGUUGUUGGGUAGGGGAGCGUUCUGUAAGCCUGUGAAGGUGUGUCGUGAGGCAUGCUGGAGGUAUCAGAAGUGCGAAUGCUGACAUAAGUAACGAUAAAGCGGGUGAAAAGCCCGCUCGCCGGAAGACCAAGGGUUCCUGUCCAACGUUAAUCGGGGCAGGGUGAGUCGACCCCUAAGGCGAGGCCGAAAGGCGUAGUCGAUGGGAAACGGGUUAAUAUUCCCGUACUUGGUGUUACUGCGAAGGGGGGACGGAGAAGGCUAUGUUGGCCGGGCGACGGUUGUCCCGGUUUAAGCGUGUAGGUGUGUGUUCCAGGUAAAUCCGGUUCACUUUAACACUGAGGCGUGACGACGAGGCACUACGGUGCUGAAGCAACAAAUGCCCUGCUUCCAGGAAAAGCCUCUAAGCAUCAGGUAACACGAAAUCGUACCCCAAACCGACACAGGUGGUCAGGUAGAGAAUACCAAGGCGCUUGAGAGAACUCGGGUGAAGGAACUAGGCAAAAUGGUGCCGUAACUUCGGGAGAAGGCACGCUGACACGUAGGUGAAGUGAUUUACUCAUGGAGCUGAAGUCAGUCGAAGAUACCAGCUGGCUGCAACUGUUUAUUAAAAACACAGCACUGUGCAAACACGAAAGUGGACGUAUACGGUGUGACGCCUGCCCGGUGCCGGAAGGUUAAUUGAUGGGGUCAGCGCAAGCGAAGCUCCUGAUCGAAGCCCCGGUAAACGGCGGCCGUAACUAUAACGGUCCUAAGGUAGCGAAAUUCCUUGUCGGGUAAGUUCCGACCUGCACGAAUGGCGUAAUGAUGGCCAGGCUGUCUCCACCCGAGACUCAGUGAAAUUGAACUCGCUGUGAAGAUGCAGUGUACCCGCGGCAAGACGGAAAGACCCCGUGAACCUUUACUAUAGCUUGACACUGAACAUUGAGCCUUGAUGUGUAGGAUAGGUGGGAGGCUUUGAAGUGUGGACGCCAGUCUGCAUGGAGCCGACCUUGAAAUACCACCCUUUAAUGUUUGAUGUUCUAACGUGGACCCGUAAUCCGGGUUGCGGACAGUGUCUGGUGGGUAGUUUGACUGGGGCGGUCUCCUCCUAAAGAGUAACGGAGGAGCACGAAGGUUGGCUAAUCCUGGUCGGACAUCAGGAGGUUAGUGCAAUGGCAUAAGCCAGCUUGACUGCGAGCGUGACGGCGCGAGCAGGUGCGAAAGCAGGUCAUAGUGAUCCGGUGGUUCUGAAUGGAAGGGCCAUCGCUCAACGGAUAAAAGGUACUCCGGGGAUAACAGGCUGAUACCGCCCAAGAGUUCAUAUCGACGGCGGUGUUUGGCACCUCGAUGUCGGCUCAUCACAUCCUGGGGCUGAAGUAGGUCCCAAGGGUAUGGCUGUUCGCCAUUUAAAGUGGUACGCGAGCUGGGUUUAGAACGUCGUGAGACAGUUCGGUCCCUAUCUGCCGUGGGCGCUGGAGAACUGAGGGGGGCUGCUCCUAGUACGAGAGGACCGGAGUGGACGCAUCACUGGUGUUCGGGUUGUCAUGCCAAUGGCACUGCCCGGUAGCUAAAUGCGGAAGAGAUAAGUGCUGAAAGCAUCUAAGCACGAAACUUGCCCCGAGAUGAGUUCUCCCUGAGACUUAGAGUCUCCUGAAGGAACGUUGAAGACGACGACGUUGAUAGGCCGGGUGUGUAAGCGCAGCGAUGCGUUGAGCUAACCGGUACUAAUGAACCGUGAGGCUUAACCUU
rnacentral:rRNA from 1 species